UUUCAACUGAACCAAAAAGUAGAAAGUAAAACGGUCAUUAAAUAAAAAUAUUGGACAUACGAUCUUAUAAUGUAUAUGUUUAAAUUAUUUUGUAGUCAAAUAGUUUCAUAUAUCUUUACUUUUGCUUUAAA
rnacentral:sRNA from 1 species